AAGAUUGUUCUUAAGGUGGCGUGAAUCACGGGAAGUUCAAGUUUAUAGUUAAGUAGAGGAAAUUCUCAAGAAACAGCAGAGCAAUUGGAUUCAUUCACAUGUAGCAGUUAAUAUACUCUACAGUCUCAGCAUCCUUAACUAUUCUCACCUGCAUUUGUUAUACAACUUUUCUGAAACUUGGAUCAUUUUCUACCAUAAAAUGGAAUCUUGAUUUUGCAUUUUUUUUUUCAUUGCGAAAUAAAUCCUGUACCAAUGGAUUAUAUGUUCGAGUAAAUGCAGUAGACACCAUAUUUUACUAUUGGACAGCAGUCUCCUUCAAUUAUCAAUCAAUAUGGUUGAGAGUCAAAUUCUCCAUUCAAGAAGACAAAAAAUCUUUGUGAGAAAAUGAUUUUUUUAGAUAAGUAUGAUUAAAAAUUAAAGAAAAAUUGUAGGUUAAUAUGUAAAAUUAUUUUAUUGGGAGAAUAUGUAUUUAAAAAUGAGUUUAUUUAAACUUCAUAUUUUUUAUUUUAAGAUAUGGAGAGAUUUUUUUUAAAUUAAAUAUUUAUUAAUAAAAAAUUACUAUAAAUAAAAUUUAAAAAAAUUUAUCACCACUCCCUGCACAGAGUGGAUUCACUCCAUGCAUGGAGUGUUAUCACUUUGUGUAAAAGGAGAGUUCUCUCAUUUUGAAAAGUCAAAAGGAGAAAACUCUCAUUUUGAAAGCAGAGAUUCUCUCCGUACACGAAGAGAUUUUUUUUUUUAUUUUUUAAAUUUAAUUUUUUAAAUUUUAAUAAAUUAAAUAAUAUUUAUAUAGUAUUUAUUUAAUUUUUGUAACUUUUAUUUUAUUUUAUUUUAUUUGCUUAUUUUGAUUUAAUAAAAUAAUUUUUAUACAUUACUUAUAAUAUAAAGACAUUCGUUAAAUUUGAAUUAAAUAAUAUUUAUGUUUUCUUUAAAUCAUUUUAAUUUAAUUUAAAAACUUUGUAAUAAUUUUUUUUAUUUUUAUCUACAAUUUUUUUAAAUAAUCUUUAUAUUUAAUUUCGUUUCUUUAUUAUAUAAUUUAUGGUAUUACCUUUAAUCAAGUGAAGUAGUGUAUGAAAAUUGAGAAAUAUUAUAGUGGAGGUGACAGUAAAACGGCGUGUGAAAAUGGUGAAAUGACGUGCGAAAAUAAUUCUACAGCGUCAUUGAAUAGAAUAAUUUACUGUUGUCAAACCGAUUUCAGACAAAUUUCGUGUGAAAACCUAUGUGAUAAAAAUAAACAGUAAAACUCACAUUCUCUCUUUUAAAAUAAGGAGGGAUUAUAGAUAGCUUAUAUGUUAAUUGCUAUUUAGCAACAAAAUUUUUAAUUCAAAUAUCUAGUAUAGGUAGCUUAUGUUUCACUAGAAUAUUUGCCAACAUAAUUUUUAAUUCAUAUGAAAUUUUUUGUUUUUUGUUGGAAUUUGAAAUUCUUUAUCUAAAUUUUAGCAACAUGAGAUUUUUACAAACGACAAUACGAAAGUAGACAUUUUUCUUUUUGCAAUUUCCUCUUUCUAAUUUACAAAAAAUGAGUAAAAAAAAAUAAGAAUAAAACAAAACGGAUAUCGUAAAAAAUCCGAGAAUCACCCAACUCCACGAGGGAAUACAUACUGAUUGCAGAAUUACCAUGUUUUGGCGAUGGAAGCAAAGCUAGAGCUUUGCCAUUUUCCCUCUUUCCAAUUUCUUCAUUAUCCACAAAAACUUCAAGUUAAAUACCUAAGAAUAUCAAUUCCUUUUCAGUCAAUACUCCUCUGAACAACUCGAAACGCAAUGCCAGGACUGAAUAUCCGGUUUAAGGAUGAAGAUUCGACAUCAUACCAACAAACCCAUGUUCCAUUUUUACCAGAGAACUCAAAUAAUUCAAUUUUAUGUUCCGGUGGAUUAUUCCUUGUCGAUAAUAAGAUCCCUUCAUCAAUUAUUAAUGCUAUUUUCGGUGACAAUUAUGUUCCCAUUAAACAUUCGACUGAAUUGCAUUCUCGUAGGAGGCCGGUUGUUGGGUUUGAAUUCUUGUGUUUGAGCUUAUCGAUUAAAGGGAAAGAUAUAGUUAUUAGGAAUUCGAGUGAGAGUUUGGAGCAGAAGAGUAUUAAGGAGGCUCGGGCGGCUGUUGGCGAAGGAAGUACGGCAGUGAAGGCUGGAAAAGUAUCGAAGGUUAGCUUGCGCGGCCGCGGGGCGGUGAACACUACCAAACAUUUGUGGGCUGGAGCUGUGGCUGCCAUGGUUUCAAGGUCUGUAAUUAUUAUUAUUUUUAUUUAUUUAUUUAUUUUUUUCAUCUGGUUAAGUACCCACUUACUCAAUUUCAUUAAAUGUUCGAGACUUGAACCCCAAUAUAUAUGUUUGCCCUAAUACCAUGUUGAAUCACGUGAUCUAAAUUGUUAAGUCCUCAGAGAGGAACACACAUAUGUUAUUUAUAUCUUGUCUUAACCCAUAUGGGCUAAAUAGGAUUCUACUUUACAGAUAAAAACAAUUUCAUGACAAUCAGACAAUGUUGCAACUGACUUUCCUAUGUCUUGUGGUAGAAUUUCUCAUCUAGUUUGGUUGAGUAUGUUUGUAGUCAUAUGGUUCUUUUUGCUUGUUGUUGUAACCUGUUUUUCUCUGUAUCAAUAUUCUGAUGAGAUAAAUCUGAAAUUUAUUACUUAUGAUUAUUUUAGAGGCAUGUUUUGAGUUAUCAGAAUCAUUUGGGAAAUACCUUAGUUGUCGCUUGAAGUUAUUAGAAUUACAAUAAUAUGCAUUUAUCCAGAUUGUGAUGAUCUGUACUGCAAUUCAAGGAUCUCUUUUGUUUGCUCUCUGUUGAUCUCACUUUCUUGCAAACUACCAUCUUGUUGUUGGGUCUGUUUUUUAGUUGACACCGAGAACCUACACUCAGCAUUUAAAUGAUGUACCUAUUAUUAUUAUUAUUUUUUUUUUUUAAAUUUAUUUUCACUAGUACUUCAUCUGUGUAAAUAGUUUUCUUUGAUCAGAACUUGCGUCGCUCCACUUGAGAGAUUAAAGCUGGAAUAUAUAGUCCGUGGUGAAAAGAGGAAUAUAUUUGAGCUCAUCAAGAAAAUAGCAGUAACACAAGGCCUGAAAGGUUUUUGGAAGGGAAAUUUUGUUAACAUUCUGCGCACAGCACCUUUUAAAGCAAUCAAUUUUUAUUCUUACGAUACAUAUAGAAAGCAGCUUCUCAAAUUAUCUGGGAAUGAAGAAACCACGAAUUUUGAGAGGUUUAUUGCUGGUGCUGCAGCUGGCAUGACAGCUUCAGUACUCUGCUUGCCACUAGACACUGUGAGUGAUAGUUCUUACAUUUUUUAUCGAUUCUUUUAGUAUUUUUUGUCCAUAUCUUUAGCAUUUUUUUUUGGUUCUUGUAAAUGAAACAAUUUUGUUCUGGAGAUGAAACUAUAAAUUGAACUGAAGUUCCAGGAUUGUAGUGAUGUUGAAAAUAAGGUCAAUGUCUAUGCAUGUAAUACUGUUUUCUGUUACAAAGUACAAGCACAUUGGUUUGAAGCUUUAAGUAUUGGACCUUUGAUCAUUUUGGUUGCUGGAAAGGAAAUGGAUUUUUGUCAUUUAGAAGGAAGGAAACAGAAAUGAGAUGAAAAGUAAUUUUCCUUAAUUUGUUUACAAUAAAAUUGGCAAAUUCUUGACCACUUCUUAAUGUGAAAAUGCCAAAAAAUAUAUUUCUGUGACUUGAAUAGAGAAUUUUUGAAUGUUUUAGGUUCGGACGAGGUUGGUGGCGCCUGGUGGAGAAGCACUUGGUGGUGUAAUUGGAGCUUUUCGUCAUGUGAUUCAAACUGAAGGGUUCUUUUCUCUUUACAAGGGUUUACUCCCGUCUAUCUUGAGUAUGGCACCCUCAGGAGCUGUUUUCUAUGGGGUAUAUGACAUUUUGAAAUCGGCUUAUUUGCAUUCACCUGAAGGAAGAAAAAGAAUUCAGAACAUGAGACAACACGAUCAAGAAUUGAAUGCUUUAGAACAACUCGAGUUGGGACCAAUGAGGACUUUCCUGUAUGGAGCUAUUUCCGGUGCUUGUGCUGAAGCUGCUACCUAUCCAUUUGAGGUUGUGAGGAGGCAGCUCCAACUGCAAGGCCGAGCUACUAAAAUGAGUGCAUUGGCAACAGCCGUCAGAAUCGUUGAACGAGGAGGUCUGCCUGCUCUUUAUGCAGGUCUUUUUCCCAGUUUACUACAGGUAUGGUGUAUAUUAUGUGCGUGUUUUGUAAGGAGGAGAGAGUAUUAAGGAAUGAAAAGGAGUUAAAAUCUUGUUCAUUAUACUAUCAAAGUCCUGUGUGCCAAACAUGCACUAUAUGAAGUCUUCCUCUGGCUUCUGAUUAUUAUUUUUGCAAGGGCAUUCACCCUUUCUGAAACUUAAAGAUUGGAAUAUUUAAGCUUGCAACUCUUUAAUGUCUCCUACAUGGCCAGUUUCAAGCACGUACAUUUUUAUAUGGCUAGAUUCCUUUGCACACCUCUACAUGUUUUAGUGGAGUAGCAUCCCUCUUGUGAGUAGAAUCUUCUUUUGAUCUAUACAAGGGAUACACCAACCAACCAAGUUGUCCUGCAUUUAAUUUAUCUCAAAUCCACAUCAGCUCUGCUUGGCCUAUAUUCUUAUUUAAAAUGCAUUAAACACUUAUUCUUUGUGAAGGCAUGAUUCUCUAUAGAGGCUCAUCUGUUAUCCUUAUUCCUACUAUGGCAAAAAGGACAUUCCAUGUGCUGCCGUAGUUGUACUUAACCUACAAUUUUACGAUUUAUUUCCUUCUCAGUCUCAUCAGCUUGAACUAUAUAAUCAACGAAUAACAUGCAUCGAGGAACCUUAUAUUGGGUAUGGCUCGUUAGCUCAUAUGCUAUUAAAAUUAAGGCAGAACCUUGAUGCAAACCUAUACUGAUGAGAAAUUCUCUACUAUUACUCCCGCUAUCUCACUUGUGACUCCUCCAUCGGGGACAUCCUUUAUGUAUUGAUUAAUAUGGAAUCAACUAUUUAUGAGUCUCACAUAUGACAUUUUCAUCUGUCCUCAGGCAUCUGAAGAUCAUUUUACCAUCAUCUUGUAUGUUUGGCAUUACAUUUUCUCAUAUGGUGCACUUCAUCUCAUUCCUUGAUUGUUAUUCUUCAGGUGUUGCCUUCAGCGUCAAUAAGCUACUUUGUUUACGAGUUCAUGAAGAUUGUUCUUAAGGUGGCGUGAAUCAUGGGAAGUUCAAGUUUAUAGUUAAGUAGAGGAAAUUCUCAAGAAACAGCAGAGCAAUUGGAUUCAUUCACAUGUAGCAGUUAAUAUACUCUACAGUCUCAGCAUCCUUAACUAUUCUCACCUGCAUUUGUUAUACAACUUUUCUGAAACUUGGAUCAUUUUCUACCAUAAAAUGGAAUCUUGAUUUUGCAUUUUUUUUUUCAUUGCGAAAUAAAUCCUGUACCAAUGGAUUAUAUGUUCGAGUAAAUGCAGUAGACACCAUAUUUUAC
rnacentral:lncRNA from 1 species